AACCAUCAAACUGCAAUUGUUUUUAAUGAUUGUUAGUUUGGAAUUUGGAUGCUUGCUGGAGACUCAACUCAGCUCAUCCGAAAUUUAUUAGCUGGCCUGAAUAUCAUGGAUCUUCCACUUGGCGUGAUAAGUAUCACCCGCUGAGGACUUGUCCAGGUAAUAUUGACCGCUUCUAAUAUAAGAUACUUCUGUAUCGUUUUUGAAUC
rnacentral:misc_RNA from 2 species